CAGCAUUUACGGCUAUGAAUGAGAGAUUUGAGCGAGGAGGAUUUGGUACAGUGCCAUAACGUGUAGAUUUGCUAUAUCUCAAUCCUACACAACUGAUCUGAAGACUCAGGGAGAGGAAGGAGGAGCUGGACCAGUGUGAGAAUCGGACCAUCAGCAUCACAAAAGCAUAUGGUAUCGUGGCAUAUAAUUGAUAUGGCUUUGGAAAGACGACGCCAUCAUGGUCUUCAAGAUCUGCCCAUGUGCAAUUGGCAGGCAUCCAUAAGUUCUCCCACCAGAACCAGCUGUUGAGUGUCUUUA